UACGAAGGGGGCUAGCGUUGCUCGGAAUGACUGGGCGUAAAGGGCGCGUAGGCGGCGGUCACAGUCAGAUGUGAAAUUCCUGGGCUUAACCUGGGGGCUGCAUUUGAUACGUGGUUGCUUGAGUGGGGAAGAGGGUCGUGGAAUUCCCAGUGUAGAGGUGAAAUGCGUAGAUAUUGGGAGGAACACCAGUGACGAAGACGACUCACUGGACCGGUACUGACGCUGAUGCGCGAAAGCGUGGGGAGCAAACAGG
rnacentral:rRNA from 1 species